AGAUCCUGUUUCUGAAUCUGAAAAAGAAUCUUUUGCUGCUGCUGAGCAGAUGAUGUGUGAGCCAGUUGAUCAUUCUGUGUCAGCAGUGGAUGCUUGUAAUACAGAAGGCGGACUUGAACCUCUUGAAGUAGUAACAAAAAAAAUGGGUCAGGACUGCACAAAGGAUAAAGAAGUGUGUCAAGCUCCUUGUGAUUCAUCUGCAAACAAGGGAGACAGCAUUGUAGCACUUGUAAAAGAAAAUGAUGACAAGAAAAUUAAAAAUAUUUCAGAACCAACUGUAAACAAUGAGAUACUUGGGCCUGUGCCCUCGGCCAUAAAAGAGUCUUUCCAGGAUACUAAUCAUAAAGGUCAGGAGGAACACAGUGUUAUGGUAUCUGGAGAAGAACACGAAAGUAGUGAUAACCUUGACAAGCGAGCUGGUGGUUCCCCUACUGUCAUUAGAACUACUGAACUUUCUCGUGGUGAAAGUAACAAGGAGGAACUCAGAAGAUUGUCAGAUCAGAGUGUUUCAGUUUCUGAGGUAAUUGAUGGUGACACCAUCAAAAUAAA
rnacentral:misc_RNA from 1 species